UACGAAGGGGGGCUAGCGUUGCUCGGAAUCACUGGGCGUAAAGCGCACGUAGGCGGCUUUUUAAGUCAGGGGUGAAAUCCCGGGGCUCAACCUCGGAACUGCCUUUGAUACUGCAAAUCUCGAGUCCGAUAGAGGUGGGUGGAAUUCCUAGUGUAGAGGUGAAAUUCGUAGAUAUUAGGAAGAACACCGGUGGCGAAGGCGGCCCACUGGAUCGGUACUGACGCUGAGGUGCGAAAGCGUGGGGAGCAAACAGG
rnacentral:rRNA from 1 species